rnacentral:rRNA from 1 species
AACGAACGCUGGCGGCAGGCUUAACACAUGCAAGUCGAGCGCCCCGCAAGGGGAGCGGCCGACGGGUGAGUAACGCGUGGGAACGUACCUUUUGGUUCGGAACAACUCCGGGAAACUGGAGCUAAUACCGGAUAAGCCCUAACGGGGAAAGAUUUAUCGCCGAAAGUUCGGCCCGCGUCUGAUUAGCUAGUUGGUGAGGUAACGGCUCACCAAGGCGACGAUCAGUAGCUGGUCUGAGAGGAUGAUCAGCCACACUGGGACUGAGACACGGCCCAGACUCCUACGGGAGGCAGCAGUGUGGAAUAUUGGACAAUGGGCGCAAGCCUGGUCCAGCCAUGCCGCGUGAGUGAUGAAGGCCUUAGGGUUGUAAAGCUCUUUUGUCCGGGAAGAUAAUGACUGUACCGGAAGAAUAAGCCCCGGCUAACUUCGUG